rnacentral:rRNA from 1 species
GGGGUGCAGCAGGCGCGAAAACUCUACAAUGCAGGCAACUGCGAUAGGGGGACAUCGAGUGGCAUCCACCUUGGGUGCCUGUCCAACCGUCUAAAAAACGGUUGUUAGCAAGGGCCGGGUAAGACCGGUGCCAGCCGCCGCGGUAAUACCGGCGGCUCGAGUGGUGGCCGAUAUUAUUGAGUCUAAAGGGUCCGUAGCCGGCUUUGCAAGUCCCCUGGGAAAUCCAGCGGCUUAACCGUUGGGCUUUCAUGGGAUACUACAUUGCUUGGGACUGGGAGAGGUAGGAGGUACUCGGGGGGUAGGGGUGAAAUCCUGUAAUCCUCCGGGGACCACCGGUGGCGAAGGCGUCCUACCAGAACAGGUCCGACGGUGAGGGACGAAAGCUAGGGGCACGAACCGGAUUAGAUACCCGGGUAGUCCUAGCCGUAAACGAUGCCCGCUAGGUGUCACGACGGUCGUGAAUCGUCGUGGUGCCGUAGGGAAGCCGCGAAGCGGGCCACUUGGGAAGUACGGCCGCAAGGCUGAAACUUAAAGGAAUUGGCGGGGGAGCAC